CCUACGGGGGGCUGCAGUGGGGAAUUUUGGACAAUGGGGGCAACCCUGAUCCAGCCAUGCCGCGUGAGUGAAGAAGGCCUUCGGGUUGUAAAGCUCUUUCGGCCGGGAAGAAAUCGCUCAAGCUAAUACCUUGGGUGGAUGACGGUACCGGAAGAAGAAGCACCGGCUAACUACGUGCCAGCAGCCGCGGUGAUACGUAGGGUGCGAGCGUUAAUCGGAGUUACUGGGGGUGAAGCGAGCGGAGAGGGCUGAAAUCCCCGGGCUUAACCGGGGAACUGCGUUUGUGACUGUGGUGCUCGAGUGCGGCAGGGGGGGGUGGAAUUCCACGUGUAGCAGUGAAAUGCGUAGAGAUGUGGAGGAACACCGAUGGCGAAGGCAGCCCCCUGGGUCGACACUGACGCUCAUGCACGAAAGCGUGGGGAGCAAACAGGAUUAGAUACCCGAGUAGUC
rnacentral:rRNA from 1 species